UUAUCCUACGGGAGGCAGCAGUGAGGAAUAUUGGUCAAUGGGCGAGAGCCUGAACCAGCCAAGUCGCGUGAAGGAAGACGGUCCUAUGGAUUGUAAACCUCUUUUGUCGGGGAGCAAAAAGGCCUCGUGAGGCCACAAGUGAGAGUACCCGAAGAAAAAGCAUCGGCUAACUCCGUGCCAGCAGCCGCGGUAAUACGGAGGAUGCGAGCGUUAUCCGGAUUUAUUGGGUUUAAAGGGUGCGUAGGCGGUUUGUCAAGUCAGCGGUAAAAAUUCCGGGCUCAACCCGGUCCCGCCGUUGAAACUGG
rnacentral:rRNA from 1 species